AUGCGCGCGCCCUCCGCGAAUGCUUUUUGGGGUAAGGGCUUCCGGCUAUUGAGUUAUGUACAGCAAGCCCAGACCGCAAAAAGAUUCGCGAAGGGCAGAGUCCGCCGGCUGCUUCGGUCCUCCGCCGCCGCUGCCGCCGCCUUCAGCCCAGGAUGUCUCGAUACCCCGGAGCCGAGCAGGCUGGGUCUCCCCAGCGCGCUCCACCUCGGCUCAGCCUCCCCGCCGCGCGCGCCGCCCGCCCCUCCCCGCGCCCCUCGACCCGUCCCUGCUUCUCUCCAGACCGUCUUCGAGCCCCUCAACUCAGCCCCGCACGGCCGCGAAAGAGGCGUGUGUGUGGCGAGAAGCGGAGCGCGAGGGGUACCGGGGAUCCCGGUGCCCAGCCUCCAGCCCUUUCCCUUCGCCCCGGCACCCCGAGCCUUCCCGCUCGCCUGUCCUAUCGCCCCACUCCCGCAUCAGGGUUCCGCCAGCCUCGGCUGCAAGUCUCUCCCCCCACCGCCCCCUAGCAGGGAAACCCUCCACAGCCGGGGUGGGUUGCUGCGAACACGACCAGAACUUGCGGGGGAAAGUUGCCCUAUUUGUUCGCUGGCACCCUGGAAUCGACGUGCGGGCGGGCGCGCGCGCACUCACACCCGCGCCCUGCCUGCCCGAGCAAACAUCUCCAGACGACGGAGCUGCUGUCUGCGCGUCCCUGUCGACCCACCCCCUCCGCCCAUCCAUCACUCUCCGGCAGCUCUGCGACCCACCCACCCUCCCACCGCCUCCCCUCGGCUCCGAGACCGACAGACGCAAGCACACACCCUCUGCGAGCGCCGGCGCGCCCGCCGCGCCACAGGGGGCUCCAGUCCGCGCCCGCCGCCGCUGCGGCGCGGGGCAACUGCGAAAAAAAGUUCAGCUCGGCCGCCCCGUGAGCCCACGAACCACCCGCCGGCCAGAGUGCCAACCCCCUUGCUUCCUUACCUGGGUCCGGGGGGCCGCGGGGGGCGCGCCGGUCCCAUCCGCACUGCAGCCAGCUUGAAGGAGCCCAGGUCCGGCCGGGCCGCUUCCCUCCCGCCCCUCCCCGCCCCCCACGCGUGUUUGCCCAGCGGCAAAGCGGGCUCUUCCAGGGUUGCACCCCGGUUGCCCUGCAUGGGGGUCAGGUCACCCUAGCCAGGAGCAGUUGCCAGGUUUGGCCGGAGUGUCUGGAAUUGAUUGCAAUGAAUUUCACUCUGGGCGGAGCCCACGAUCCCAGCCAGCUGAUGGUCUCCCCAGCAACAUUUGCCAACUUGGAGAAAACCCCCUCCCCAGUUUCCCUCCAAGCUGAUUUGCAACCAUUUGACUUCUGGCACUGUGCCUGGAUUCUCUAAGCAUAGCCGGAGCAAUUCCUGAGCUCUGGCUUCGAAAUCGCUCGUUCCACCAAUUCAUUUGGGGUGCCUCUGACUAGGAUGCGAAGGAAAAGGGGAAUAAGAAAAACGCUCCAACACACAUCCUUCCAUACCGCCCUACAGUUGCAGCUUGUGGGAGCCUGCUUGGGGGAUCAUGAUGAGGGCUCGAAUAAAGCAACCUAUAGUCUCUUA